UACAGAGGUCUCAAGCGUUGUUCGGAUUCAUUGGGCGUAAAGGGUGCGUAGGCGGCGCGGUAAGUCGGGUGUGAAAUCUCGGAGCUUAACUCCGAAACUGCAUUCGAUACUGCCGUGCUUGAGGACUGGAGAGGAGACUGGAAUUUACGGUGUAGCGGUGAAAUGCGUAGAUAUCGUAAGGAAGACCAGUGGCGAAGGCGGGUCUCUGGACAGUUCCUGACGCUGAGGCACGAAGGCCCAGGGGGAGCAAA
rnacentral:rRNA from 1 species